UACAGAGGGGGCAAGCGUUGUUCGGAAUUACUGGGCGUAAAGGGCGCGUAGGUGGCCUUCUAAGUUGAACGUGAAAUCCCCGAGCUCAACUCGGGAACUGCGUCCGAUACUGGCGGGCUUGAAUCCGGGAGAGGGAUGCGGAAUUCCAGGUGUAGCGGUGAAAUGCGUAGAUAUCUGGAGGAACACCGGUGGCGAAGGCGGCAUCCUGGACCGGCAUUGACGCUGAGGAGCGAAAGCUAGGGGAGCAAACGGG
rnacentral:rRNA from 1 species